AGCAGCCGCGGUAAUUCCAGCUCCAAUAGCGUAUAUUAAAGUUGUUGCAGUUAAAAAAGCUCGUAGUUGAAUUUCGGGAUUAGUACGUUGGUCGUGCCUUCGGUACGUACUGGUGUUACUGAUUCCUACCUUCUGACGAACCAUCAUGUCAUUUAUUUGGUGUGGCGGGGAAUCAGGACUGUUACUUUGAAAAAUUAGAGUGUUUAAAGCAGGCUCGCGCUUGAAUACAUUAGCAUGGAAUAAUGAAAUAGGACGUUGACCCUAUUUUGUUGGUUUCUAGGAUUGACGUAGUGAUUAAUAGGGAUAGUUGGGGCAUUAGUAUUCAAUUGUCAGAGGUGAAAUUCUUGGAUUUAUUGAAGACUAACUACUGCGAAAGCAUUUUGCCAAGGAUGUUUUCAUUAAU
rnacentral:rRNA from 1 species